UACAGAGGGUGCAAACGUUGCUCGGAAUUACUGGGCGUAAAGCGCACGUAGGCGGAUGUGCCAGUCAGGGGUGAAAUCCCGGAGCUCAACUUCGGAACUGCCUCUGAUACAGCACGUCUUGAGUCCGGAAGAGGUGGGUGGAAUUCCUAGUGUAGAGGUGAAAUUCGUAGAUAUUAGGAAGAACACCGGUGGCGAAGGCGGCCCACUGGUCCGGUACUGACGCUGAGGUGCGAAAGCGUGGGGAGCAAACAGG
rnacentral:rRNA from 1 species